GCUGUCUGAAGAUAGAUCGCCAUCAUGAACGACACUGUAACUAUCCGCACUAGAAAGUUCAUGACCAACCGACUCCUUCAGAGGAAACAAAUGGUCAUUGAUGUCCUUCACCCCGGGAAGGCAACAGUGCCUAAGACAGAAAUUCGGGAAAAACUAGCCAAAAUGUACAAGACCACACCGGAUGUCAUCUUUGUAUUUGGAUUCAGAACUCAUUUUGGUGGUGGCAAGACAACUGGCUUUGGCAUGAUUUAUGAUUCCCUGGAUUAUGCAAAGAAAAAUGAACCCAAACAUAGACUUGCAAGACAUGGCCUGUAUGAGAAGAAAAAGACCUCAAGAAAGCAACGAAAGGAACGCAAGAACAGAAUGAAGAAAGUCAGGGGGACUGCAAAGGCCAAUGUUGGUGCUGGCAAAAAGAUGAGGGAAUUGGGGCUUGGAGUGCAAGCAUUGGGAAGAAUUUCCCAGGAAGAGAGAUGCACAGAUGUGAAGAACUCGAAGGCAAGAGAAAGCCGGGGGGUUGUGUGGCAGGUAGAAGUGCCAGGACCAUGGAGCGUGUGGACAUGUGGCAGAUUGUGGAGGGGCUGUGGCAAGUAUUUACAGGUGGCCGUUACCUGGAGGAGGACUGAAAACAGAGAACAGUGCUGCCAGGCGUGCCUUUUGGAGAGGGCACUGGUCAGAAACGGAGCCUUCAUGUCGCCUGCCUCACCUGCUCCUGCUGGUUCUCCCCACCCUGUGGACGGUGACUUGGUCCUCCACUUGCCAGAAGCCUUGUCAGCAACCUUGACUCUGUCACCCCACAUCCAGGCCAUCAACAAGUC
rnacentral:sRNA from 1 species